CAGCCGCCGCGGGAAUACAGAGGGUGCGAGCGUUAAUCGGAUUUACUGGGCGUAAAGCGUGCGUAGGCGGCUUCUUAAGUCGGAUGUGAAAUCCCUGAGCUUAACUUAGGAAUUGCAUUCGAUACUGGGAAGCUAGAGUAUGGGAGAGGAUGGUAGAAUUCCAGGUGUAGCGGUGAAAUGCGUAGAGAUCUGGAGGAAUACCGAUGGCGAAGGCAGCCAUCUGGCCUAAUACUGACGCUGAGGUACGAAAGCAUGGGGAGCAAACAGGAUUAGAGACCCCUGUAGUCCCUGUCUCUUAUAA
rnacentral:rRNA from 1 species